rnacentral:pre_miRNA from 1 species
AGAGGGAUAGUUGGGUCAAAUGGUGGUUCCAUUCCCAGAUUUCCAAGGAAUCUCCAUACUGCUUUCCAUAUUGGCUGCACCAAUUUGCAGUCCCACCAGCAGU